rfam:Stegodyphus mimosarum contig60620, whole genome shotgun sequence.
GCCUUCGUAGUGUAGUGGUCAGCACGCGUAACUGAGAGGUCCAUGGUUCGAUUCCCGGCGAAGGCG